rnacentral:rRNA from 1 species
UCAAGGAAGAAAGGGCGUACGGAGAAUGCCUGGGCACAGAGAGGCGAUGAAGGACGCAGCGAACAGCGAAAUGCGGCGGCGAGCGGUAAGCACGCGAUGACCCGCCGAUAUCCGAAUGGGGAAACCCCUCCGCUUUCGAAGCGGAGACCGCAUGACGACCGUCAUGACGGGGCAAUACGCAGGGAACUGAAACAUCUAAGUACCUGCAGGAAGAGAAAGAGAAGUCGAUUCCGUAAGUAGCGGCGAGCGAAAGCGGAGGAGCCCAAACCGGACAUAGUCCGGGGUUGUAGGACCGCCGAGAAAGAUGACAUGAAGAGUCAGGAGAAUCCCAUGGGAAGGGGAUCCGCAGAGGGUGAGAGACCCGUAUCCGAAGGCUCGACAUGGAUCGAGGCGGCACCUGAGUACGGCGGGGCACGUGGAAUCCUGCCGGAAUCAUCGGGGACCAUCCCGAAAGGCUAAACACUACUCUGUGACCGAUAGCGAACCAGUACCGUGAGGGAAAGGUGAAAAGAACCCCGGGAGGGGAGUGAAAGAGAACCUGAAACCGCAUGCCCACAAGAAGUCAGAGCCCGUCAAAGGGUGAUGGCGUGCCUUUUGUAGAAUGAGCCGGCGAGUCACGAUCAGCAGGCGAGGUUAAGCAGGAGAUGCGGAGCCGCAGCGAAAGCGAGUCUUAACAGGGCGACAUAGUCUGAGGUCGUGGACCCGAAACCGGGUGAUCUAGCCAUGAGCAGGUUGAAGUCGGGGUGAGACCCGAUGGAGGACCGAACCGACCCCCGUUGAAACGUUGGCGGAUGACUUGUGGCUAGGGGUGAAAUUCCAAUCGAACCCGGAGAUAGCUGGUUCUCCCCGAAAUAGCUUUAGGGCUAGCGUCGCAGCGAGAGAGCCGUGAAGGUAGAGCACUGAAUAUGCGAUGGCCGCAUCCCGCGGUACUGAGCAUAAUCAAACUCCGAAUGUCACGGUGUCAUCUGCGGCAGUCAGACGGCGAGUGAUAAGGUCCGUCGUCAAGAGGGAAACAGCCCAGACCAUCAGCUAAGGUCCCAAAGUGCAUGCUAAGUGGAAAAGGAAGUGGAGACGUGCAGACAACUAGGAGGUUGGCUCAGAAGCAGCCAUCCUUCAAAGAGUGCGUAACAGCUCACUAGUCGAAUGACUCUGCGCCGAUAAUUUACCGGGGCUAAGCAUGACACCGAAGCUAUGGACAGGAAUGUGGUAGGGGAGCAUUGCAUGCAGCGGAGAAGCAUGACCGAGAGGGCAUGUGGAGCGCAUGGAAGAGAGAAUGCCGGCGUGAGUAGCGGCACGUGGGUGAGAAUCCCACGCACCGAUGGCCCAAGGUCUCCAGAGGAAGGCUCGUCCUCUCUGGGAUAGUCGGGACCUAAGGCGAGGCCGAAAGGCGUAGCCGAUGGACGACGGGUGGAUAUUCCCGUACCCGAUGUGUGGCGAUGGAGUGACGGAGAAGGCUCAGGCAACCAGCUGCUGGAAUAGCUGGGGCAAGCGAGAUACCUGCGCACCAGGGAAAUCCGGUGCGCGCAGGGGGAAGGCGCGAAGCAUACGGAAAGCUGCGGCAAGUACGGAAAAGCUGAGAGCAGGCUUCCAGGAAAAGCUUCUAGCACAACACACAUCGGCCCGUACCGAAAAUGGACACACAUGGGCAAGGAGAGAAUCCUGAGGUGAGCGAGAGAACUAUAGCUAAGGAACUCUGCAAAAUGACCCCGUAACUUAGGGAGAAGGGGUGCUCCAGAAAUGGAGCCGCAGUAAAACGGCCCAAGCGACUGUUUACCAAAAACACAGCUCUCUGCGAAGGCGCAAGCCGAAGUAUAGGGGGUGACGCCUGCCCGGUGCUGGAAGGUCAAGGGGAGCUGUCAGCGCAAGCGAAGCAGCGAGCCGAAGCCCCAGUAAACGGCGGCCGUAACUAUAACGGUCCUAAGGUAGCGAAAUUCCUUGUCGGGU